AGUGGAAUUGCUGGGUCAUAUAGUAAUGGUGUUUAGCUUUUGGAGAAUUUUGAGAAACUGCUUUCCAAAGUGGAUGUACCAUUUUACAUUCCCACCAGUAAU
rnacentral:pre_miRNA from 1 species